rnacentral:lncRNA from 1 species
GAAACUUACAGCCUGAGGCAUUGGUGCCUGCACACCCAAGUUAUGUUGGGCCAUGGCGAUGAGACAGCUCCUCUACUCAUCUUUCUGAAAAAGCCAUCUUGCCACAUCUAAUAAAUAAUCUUACUAAGAUUAUUUAAUCUUAUGGCCCAAUUAUAAAAGCCAAGUGAUAAAAGCAACUGCCUCUCGUUCUACAAAUAUUUAUUCUGUACGUACUAUUCUGUGCAAAGCACAAUGGGUAUAUAUACAUGUGUAAAUAAUGUGCCUUUCAGAAGCCUAACACCGUCCAACAUCAAGGUAGAGGAACCGUCCAG